AACUCACAGCCCCAAAGAGUUUGCAUCUGAGCUUCCUGUAGCAUCCUGGGGCACGGACAGGCGGAACCGGGCCAUCAGCCGUCCCUGCGCACAGAGGCGCACAGAUUGGAUCCGGCCUCGCAGUCCCAGGAGCCAAGAGGGGAGGCACGCGUGCCGGUUCUCGGAAAUUCAUUAUGGGAAUGUGCGCGUUGUGGAGAUGCUCAGACCGCGAACAGUACUGCGGGAACCCAAACGAUCAUUUUUAACCCCAGACGUCCCUGAACCAAAGCCAAAGUCUACAGGUCACUGGGGCAGAGGCCGCCCGAAACCAGCUGUCCCCUCCCGGCCUAGGCGCGCCAGGUCCCCGCCCAGCCGGGGCGAUCCUUUGGUCGGACAGUGAGGUUGGGAGCCCACCGCACCCAAGUGCCGCCGCAUCCACCCGGCGCAGGCGACCCCCGACGGGCAGCCGCUCACCUUCUCCUGGCCCCGGGCUUCAGGAAAACUGCCUGGAGGUGGCCGGGGUCUCCCUAGCGGAGGCUGGGCGGCGGGCUUCGCGCCUGCCUCAGUCUCCCAAUCCGUGGCCCGGGGGAUGGAGCCCGCUGCGCGCAGAGGCUGCGGCAGGUCCCAGCCAGGUGCCCUGGAACGUGGCUCCUCCUUCCCUGAGGCGCUCCCCUGGGCACGAGGAUGGGUCUCGAAGCAGGAGGAAGCCGCCUUCCCUCACCCGCUGUCCGGAGCUGCUCAGCCGGUGCGCGGAGCCUCCCCCGCCGCGGACACCACGAUCCGACCCCCACCCUGACCCCGACCCAGACCCCCACCGCCCGACCCCGGCCGUAUUCCGUUGCGUUUGCUCCCUGCCAGCUCCGGGGCCACCACUGAGCACGCGCUGGACAAGAGCGAUGCAUGUGAGGUGUGGCAAAUCUCACUGUUCAACUGGAGAAAUCAGAGACAGCUUCCUGGAGGCAGUGACACCUGGACAGGCUUCUCCACAGGAGGAAGCGAGUGAGAGAAGCCAACUGGGAUGGACCCAUCAUGUAGGGGGAACAGUGCGCGCAGAACCAACAACCACCCCCACCCUAGGCCCAGAGCUCACGGAGAGAGCUGGGCCUCUCGGGGUGACUACAUAGUUCCCUGCUGGAUCUUAGGUCUUGUCCUUGGGCAGCUCUGCUGAGACCUCUAUGCCUGUUCCAGGCUGCACCAAGGUUUUGUGACUAUUGACCCUUGACUUUGAGUUGGGAGUUGCUGUAUUUUUACUAAGGGAUGGAGAGACACAGCCCCCAACCCCCAGGGAGCUGGGCUGGCUCUCCUAUGGCUCAGCCCAUAGCUCCAGCCCCAGGGAUGUCCAGAGGAUCAGAAAACUCCCUCCCUCCUUUAAAGCAGCUACUGGCAGAGUCCGUGGAGCUCUUGGGGGCUGGGAGACAGGCAGGAAACCCACCUGGCAGGCAGGCAGGAGCCCAUGGGGGAGGGUUGAUCUUUGAUCUUCCUCUGAUGGCCCAACGGGAACUGUGAGCACCCAGCCGCUCACUGGGACAUCUCGGUGCAGGGAAAGGGCUGAAGCUGGCGCAGCCACGGCAGCAUCCCCUCUCGUGGCAGUGCUCCUGAAACAGAGACGUGGUCUGGGCAGCAUGCUGAAAGGCAUUUCUGAAUGAAGCCUCCUACUGACCUAGAGCCAGCACACACCACUCCAGGGGCAGAGAGGAGAGAGCAGGAGCAGGAGACAGUCCAGGGCAGAGGCAGGCUCUGAGUCCAUGGAGACCCUCCCUGGGGCACCCCCUGCAUCUGCAGGGGUCCAAGCCUAGCACUGGCUCUGCAAGGAUUCAGCCACUCAUACUGUGCCCCCCCAGCAUGGGGCAUCUGUGGGUCUCCCUGAAGGUGGGCACCUGGGCAGCCUUCCUGAGGGGUCAGAGCAUCCUUGCAGGCAUCAGUGAUUCCCUCUGUCCCUUUCACCACUGGCCAUGGCUGGAGCAGAGCAGCACCGCAUGGUUUGGCUCUGGACAGCUGUGAGGCCCCAUGAGGCCCAGCAUGUCUGCAGGGGCCUCUCCUAGCCCCCUCUCUGCAUUCUGAGGCUUCACUUGUUGAACAGAAAGAGGUAGCAGAAUCCCAAAUAAGAGUGCAACAUGUCACCUACCAGCUCCAGCGCCUGGGGGCCAAGUGUGGACUCAGAGCUUCUGUCCAGCAGAGGCCCCUGAUGUGCAGCUGCACCGAGACACCCAGGCAGGGCGUCACCUGCAAGGUCAGCUGCAAGGCUGGGACUGGGGUUUGUAAUCGCUGUUGUCUCUUGGCCUGCAGGAUCCUCACGCGUGCCGCUUCGGUCCUGAUGGGCAGGACGCAGGUCUCUCACUAGACCAGUGUUUCCCUCUGUGAGGCCUGGAGAGGAGCCUUCUGGCCACUCCUGGGUACAACACGAAGGGAGAAGCAGACCUGAGUUUUUUAUUUUUACUUAUUUUUUUUUUUUUGAGACAGAGUCUCGCUCCAUCGCCCAGGCUGGAGUGCAGUGGUGCGAUCUCGGCUCACUGCAAGCUCCGCCUCCCCGGUUCAUGCCAUUCUCCUGCCUCAGCCUCCUGAGUAGCUGGGACUACAGGCGCCCGCCACCACGCCCAGCUAAUUUUUUGUAUUUUUAGUAGAGACAGCGUUUCACCGUGUUAGCCAGGAUAGUCUUGAUCUCCUGACAUUGUGAUCUGCCCGCCUCGGCCUCCCAAAGUGCUGGGAUUACAGGUGUAAGCCACUGCACCCGGCCAGGCCUGAGCUUUUUAUAUACACCAACUGCCAAACAUUCCACGUGAAUUUCCUGAAACUUCUCUUUGGAAAGCUUCUGUUUGUAUGUAUAAGGCAAUGUGCAUGCCAGCAUGUCAGUUACAGCAGGAGAGAGGGAACAAGCCAUGUGGGAACUGAUGGAGCCAUGUCACAUCCAGUGUCCUCUGCAGCCGCUAUGGAGUGCCAGGAGGAAUGAGGGGCAAAUGGUAAGAUCUUUAUGACGUGAGAGAAGCCAGGUGCGGAGCAGGGAACAGUCAGGUUUAAUUGGUGUGAAGAACAGGAUCACUGAAAAAUAUUUUCUCAUAGAUAAAACUCUUUUUGUAUAAAAGUCUACAGAAUUGCGAUAGGAAACCCAUAAUCAUGGUUUCAAGUGGGCAGAGAACUAGGCUCUGGCGUCAGGGGAGGAAGGGGAACUGUUCACUGUCAACACCUUUUAGGACGUUUCCAUUGGGAUCGAAGGGUGGCUCACUCUGCCACUUUGACAUAAGAAUCACUUCUACCUAAGGCACUUGAAAAAUGGCACAGGCAAGAGCAUCAUCGGAUCUCUCCUUUUCUUCCUGAAGACAGGAGAUAAAAACGCUCAGGUGAAAGAUGCCUUCCCUGUACCGGGCGAAGAAAGAUUCCUCUACAGGGAAGCACGUCAUAGCCAACAGAAUUCUGUACAGACAUUAAAGUAAUUAAAGUAAUUCCUGUCGUUCUUAAGCCUCCCCACACGGUUUACUUUUCCACAACUGCCUCUUUGUUCAGCCUCCUGCAAAAGCACAUAGGUUUCGUCACUUCUUUGGGUCUUUGCUUCCUUAGGAGGGUCCUGUGUGACAUCAAAGUGACAUUAAAUUUGUAUACAUUUCUCCUGUUAAUCCAUCUGAUUUCAACUUAGUUCCCAGGCCCAGCCAGGAACCUAAGAGGAGGGAGGUGGAUAUUUGCCUCCCCUACAGUAUCGUGUACGUAUAUGACUUUUUAAAAAAG
rnacentral:lncRNA from 1 species